ACUAGAUGAUGAUAGCAACAAAUGAUUAUUACUUUGUAUUACCUCCUGGAAUUGAGCAUCCACUGAUGACCAAACACGGGUAAUGCUGUUACUGUACUGUGACUGAGUCAUAUUCCCAGUUAUAUAGGAUACAUCAGUCACACCCCUAGCAGCCAAACUUUUCUGAUCGGAGAAGCUUGUGUGCAGAUGACCUGACGAGCUUAACUGCUGUAUUAUUAUUCUAUUUUUUCCAGAGAUGUGCUGCUUGUAACUGGAUUUACAUUCACCAAAUGAGCUAACAAACUGACUGUCAUUCACAUUUUAAAUAUACAUUGGCAAUGGAAUGGUAUGUUCAUGGAUUGUUUUUUCACGCAAUAUUAUUUCAUAACCAUACAUACGUUUAUAUUUAAAACCAAUUUUGUUCCAUUACACCAUUCACUCGAUUUAGUUCAUGAAAAUUUCUUUACGCAGACGUUUAAGUGCAGUCAUCAGUCAUGUUCAUGUCAAUUCGCAAAAUUGUAUGCCUUUUGAUUGCAUCUAUCAAUGCCUAAUUGAUACGUUUAAGCUGUAUUUUGUAUCGUAAUUGUAAAGUUAAAGAAUUAAAAGAACUGUUUUUGUUUUA